ACUCCUACGGGAGGCAGCAGUGGGGAAUUUUGGACAAUGGGCGCAAGCCUGAUCCAGCCAUUCCGCGUGAGUGAAGAAGGCCUUCGGGUUGUAAAGCUCUUUCGCAAGGGAAGAAAACUUAUGAUCGAAUAAAUCAUGAGGUUGACGGUACCUUGAUAAGAAGCACCGGCUAACUACGUGCCAGCAGCCGCGGUAAU
rnacentral:rRNA from 1 species